UUCCUGAGCUGACAGACUAGGAUUUCUCAUGCCAACAGAUCACUCUGUUCUCUCGGGAUCUAUAAGAUACUUCUUGGUUUUGAUAGAUGGCCUGAAGGCAUGCAGGUGGUGCAGCUUGGUACUGCUUUAGCAAUCCUUUUUGCUUGGGGAAUAUCCUACUUAGGAGUUUAAUAUAGAAAUAGACCUGCAUGGUGAGGCUGGGGAACUAACAGACAUUUUGGUAGGAUCCCAAAGAAAAGGGUCCCUGGAAAAGACUGCAGUUACUUUUAUCUAGCAGAGGUUCCAUGACACAAGAUGAGCCAUCUAAUAGUUUGUCAGUACCAGAAACAGCAUGUCCAAUCUUGGCCAGAAGUUCACAACUCCUUCUGUGGCACUGGCAGUGGCUUUUGACAAACGUGUUUUACUAACAGAAAACCAACAUGACCACAAGAUGUGAUAUGUUACCUGCCAAAAAAAAUUAAUUGAGUGAGGUCACUCAAGGGACAAGAUUGCCUUUUUCAGCGGCAGCAGCAGCCGCUGCUUUGUCCAGCAGUUUUGCUUCAGCAGGUUGAAGUGUGUGUGUGCACAUAAGGGAUGCCUCUAACUGGAGAGGUCUCUGGCCUCCUUUGAUCAAGGGAUCGAGCAGACUUUCUCAGCGUUGUGUGAAUAUUAAUGGUUGAGGCUCCCUCCCCAUCUUGCCUUUACUCUUGCAGUUCUCCCAGGUUGUUUAACUCUUGAUAACCAGAUGUAGCUGCCUUCCUGCCUGUGGCUACCCUCUAAUAAGCUGUUUUUCACAGGUUUCGUUACACUGUAGGGAUUUGGUCACUCGGUAUCUCUUGGCAGUAGUGCAAAAAGCUAAAUACAUACCUUAUAAAAAUGUACCUUGAGAAAGCGAUGACAGCUGUACAUCAGGAAGUGAUUUUCUGUCUGACUGAACCAAAACUUCUAGGAAACCCAGAGACCUUACAUUCAUGUGAAUGAACUGUAGGGUGUUUUGGGUUUUGGUUUGUUUUCUUUCCAGACACUAGAUUUUAGGAGGAAUAUUUACUAGAAAUUUUAUGGAGGUUGUUUCUCAUUUAGCAUAUGCAUAUUACUGUUGAGUAAUACUUGUAGGACAUCACUGCAGUUGCUUUAUUUUAAACUCCAACCAGCAAGACUUACAGUUUCUGUGAAGGUACAGAACGUUGGCAAAGCUUUGCUGAGUUUUUUUUCUCUUUCCUCCCUGAAAAAGGUGAGUCUUGCUGUGCACUGUGGUGCUGUGUGCGUACACAAGCAGUUGGGUUUGUGUGCAUUGUCUUAAAAAAUGUGACUAAUAAAAUACCUGAAAUAGUGUUAAUUUUACAGUUGAUUCCUGUAAUGCUACGGAAAUCACUGCAUCGUUUUUAAUCCCCGAGCAUUAUCAUAACUAACCUGGCUAUUACCUAAUUGUCGUAGUAGGUAGCCUUUGGAAUGAUGAAUACGAGUGUGUGAAGUUAAUACUUUGUGAGAAUGAAUGGAAGCAAUUCACACCUCUGCUGGAGCUCCAUUAUUACAUUUUGGCUGCGAAGCAGAAAGGAUAGUAGCACAGGGGGUUAUAGAAUGUCAUUUAUCUUUCAACUGAAAGAGUUAGAAAUAUGGCUACUUUUAAGUUUCUAACUUAAAAUAUGGAGAGAGGGAAAGGGGCAGAAAGGAAAAGAACAACAAUUUCCAGAAUAAGAAGAAGGUAUGAGUGCUUUCCACAAUGAAAAAGCAGAGGUAGGACUUUGGGUUUAUCCUUCACGUCUCCCACAGGCCGUUGUUCGCUGUGUCUGUGUAAGGGUUUCACUACAUUUGUGCACUUGUGUGCAUUUUUUGAGCACAAAAUGGCUCACUCAUAUGCCAAUAAAUAGAUUUUUAUUUACUCUUGUGUACAGGUUUGAGGUUUUUUUAAUUCAGAAUUUCCAGAUUUAUAAAUUUCAGUGGUUCUGCUUUAUUACCUGUAGUUAGCAUUUUCUAACCUUCUUUGCUGAAGACUUGACAGGGAUGAAUGAAGGGGCCUGCCGUUUUUCUGAACUCAUUGGGAAAGGUUGCCUUUCCCCAGCUGACCAAGAACAACAGAGAUGGGAAACAAAUUGGUUGCCUUUGGUUUGUUUUCUUUCUCCUAUUUCAUUCCUGGUCUAUUGAAGGCUGCUCAAAUUUCAGAUGGACUGUGGUAAGCUGGGUGGGUGUGGAGAGUGUCUUUUGUAAACAGCAUUGUAGGAACCAGUACUGCAAAACAAAAGCACUCUACACCCCUUUGUUUUGUGGCAGAUGCUCAUGUUUUAUUCCCAUGUUUCUAAGCAGUUUGUAUCUUAAUAUGUUGAUUUUCAUGGCAAUGUUUGUUUAAAAUUCUUUCUUGUGUCCCUGUAUAGUGAAAAUUGAGACACUGUGAAACUGUCUCAUCCUCUCUCUGUCCCUCCUUUCACCUUGCCCUUCAGUUUCUAUUAACACCAGUUAAUGACACUAGGCAGGAAUAUGCCAUUCCUGUACCAUUGCUUGUUUUAGACCUCCUUUCCUGAUUAAACCUAAUUUAACACUUUACCUGAAAUUGUUGGUUUACAGUUGACUUCCACAUUGAAAGUGUUAAUUGCAGUUAGUCUGCACACUGAGAAGCCUCUGGACAUGUUUACUCCUACUUCCUGAUGACUGCCGGUGGGAGAGAUUUUUAGUAUUACAAAAGUGCUGCCUUAUUUCUACAGUUCGUGGUGGUGGUUUUUGGUAUUUGUGUUUCAGUAGUGAUCAUCCAAUCACACUUCAUGUGGCAUUGGAAUUCUUGAAUUAAUAACUCUAUGUAUGUAGCAAUUGCUUGGCUCAUGUCAAACCUGUAUAUUGUACAACAGAUGUCCUCUUUCGACUUCGCCCUUCUUCAGAUUCCCUGUGGAACAGCCAGGGCAUGUUCCAAAAACCCUAGAAAAUAAAGAACAGUAUUUGUG
rnacentral:lncRNA from 1 species